CCAGCUAUCUUUACCUCUCUCUCUCUCUCAUCGACAAGCUUUUUCUUCUUUUUCUUCAAAUUCUCCGUUGAGCGGGAGAUUCUCCAGCCAAAAGCAGAAGUUUUCAUGGAUUUUUGCACGGGACCCAUAUUGAGAGGUAUUAAGCAGAUAAAGGUUAGAAGCAGAUCAAAUCCCCCUUUCUUCCCUCCAUUUGCAUUAUUGAGAGUAUCUCAUUUGUGAAUGGGAGAUCAGUUCAAAUGCUAGAAAAAAUGUCUCUAAAGCUAAAGAGUCAUUCAAGUAUGGUCAUUCGAUUAGGAGAGUCGUGACCUUGUUUCUCAUGAUGCAUCUUGAUCCUCUUGAUGCCCUUGAUCCUCGUGAUUCCGAUAUCAUUAAGAUUAUGCACCAUGAGAACAAGGUCGCGACUCUCUCAUUGGUUUCAUCAUUUUCCGUAGCAUUUCCAACAUUCCUAACUAAAUAAGUUGCAUUAACGCACCUCGGUCAUUUUACUACCUCUGUUUAAACACUUGGAUGGCAUGCGAGCACAUGACAAGCCACAAGCACCACUAUUCACUCUACAUUGACACUUUGUUGUCUUGGGGGUAGAAGAUCUUGAAUUUCUUGCACCGGGUGACAUUGUUCGAGUACAAUCACUGUCCAAACAAUUCAAAUACCAAUAUAUUAAAAAUAUCCUUAUUUGACAACC